AGUCCAGAGUUGUCCGUCGUAAAUAGAAGUAGCGUGUCGGUUGAUCGUAGGGUAAUAGGUCCGAUAUCUCGGGGUAAGAUGGUAUAAGGGUAGUUUAAGUGCGUGUUUAGCGUCACCAACUCCCCACUGGCUUUUACAUGGGACACUAAGGGCCACUAAGGGCUAGUAUCAUGCUAGUGAAAAGAGACCAUUCUGUGCCUGUUUUCUCAAAUCUACGUCAAUGAAACGUGUAUGAGUUCUUCAAUUUAUUUUGAAAAAAUUUGUAUGAUCUAAGAAAUAACGAGCUACACUCUCGAAGGUGAUUCGAAGGAUAUAAAAAAUAGGAUAAAAGAAAA